UACGUAGGGUGCAAGCGUUGUCCGGAAUUAUUGGGCGUAAAGAGCUCGUAGGUGGUUCGGUAAGUCGGAUGUGAAAUCUCCAGGCUCAACCUGGAGGGGUCAUUCGAUACUGCCGUGACUAGAGUUCGGUAGGGGAGUGUGGAAUUCCUGGUGGAGCGGUGAAAUGCGCAGAUAUCAGGAGGAACACCCGUAGCGAAGGCGGCACUCUGGGCCGAUACUGACGCUGAGGAGCGAAAGCGUGGGGAGCGAACAGG
rnacentral:rRNA from 1 species